rnacentral:rRNA from 1 species
CCUACGGGUGGCAGCAGUGAGGAAUAUUGGUCAAUGGGCGCGAGCCUGAACCAGCCAAGUAGCGUGAAGGAUGACUGCCCUACGGGUUGUAAACUUCUUUUAUAAAGGAAUAAAGUGAGGCACGUGUGCCCUUUUGUAUGUACUUUAUGAAUAAGGAUCGGCUAACUCCGUGCCAGCAGCCGCGGUAAUACGGAGGAUCCGAGCGUUAUCCGGAUUUAUUGGGUUUAAAGGGUGCGGAGAUGGGUUGUUAAGUCAGUUGUGAAAGGUUGCGGCUCAACCGUAAAAGUGCAAUUGAUACUGGCAGUCUUGAGUACAGGAGAGGUAGGCGGAAUGCGUGGUGUAGCGGUGAAAUGCUUAGAUAUCGCGAAGAACUCCGAUUGCGAAGGCAGCAUACUAAACUGCCACUGACAUUGAUGCUCGAAAGUGUGGGUAUCAAACAGGAUUAGAUACCCUAGUAGUC